rnacentral:rRNA from 1 species
AGAGUUUGAUCAUGGCUCAGGAUGAACGCUAGCGGCAGGCUUAAUACAUGCAAGUCGUGGGGCAGCGCGGGUAGCAAUACCUGGCGGCGACCGGCAAACGGGUGCGGAACACGUACGCAACCUUCCUUUAAGCGGGGAAUAGCCCAGGGAAACUUGGAUUAAUACCCCAUAAGACAGUGGAGUGGCAUCACUCAGCUGUUAAAGCUCCGGCACUUAAAGAUGGGCGUGCGGCUGAUUAGGUAGUUGGCGGGGUAACGGCCCACCAAGCCGACGAUCAGUAACUGGUGUGAGAGCACGACCAGUCACACGGGCACUGAGACACGGGCCCGACUCCUACGGGAGGCAGCAGUAAGGAAUAUUGGUCAAUGGACGCAAGUCUGAACCAGCCAUGCCGCGUGGAGGAUGAAGGCCCUCUGGGUUGUAAACUUCUUUUAUUGGGGAAGAAACCUGACUUUUCUAAGGCAGUUGACGGUACCCGAUGAAUAAGCACCGGCUAACUCCGUGCCAGCAGCCGCGGUAAUACGGAGGGUGCAAGCGUUAUCCGGAUUCACUGGGUUUAAAGGGUGCGUAGGUGGGCAGGUAAGUCAGUGGUGAAAUCUCUGGGCUUAACCCAGAAACUGCCGUUGAUACUAUCUGUCUUGAAUAUAGUGGAGGUGAGCGGAAUAUGUCAUGUAGCGGUGAAAUGCUUAGAUAUGACAUAGAACAUCGAUUGCGAAAGGCAGCUCGCUACACUAUCAUUGACACUGAGGCACGAAAGCGUGGGGAUCAAACAGGAUUAGAUACCCUGGUAGUCCACGCCCUAAACGAUGGAUACUCGACAUCAGCGAUACACUGUUGGUGUCUGAGCGAAAGCAUUAAGUAUCCCACCUGGGAAGUACGACCGCAAGGUUGAAACUCAAAGGAAUUGACGGGGUCCGCACAAGCGGUGGAGCAUGGUGGUUUAAUUCGAUGAUACGCCGGAGGAACUUACCUGGGCUAAGAAUG